rnacentral:misc_RNA from 1 species
GUUGUUUCACUGCAGAUGAUCAAAUUUACAUUGUGGAUUGUGGAAUGACAUGACACAUAGAUCACAGUAGUAAGAAUUAUUUACAAAAUUGAACUAUUUUAAUAGGCAGAAAUGAGCAAUUGUUGACCUGUAUGUCCUUGAUGGAAACCAACAGACAAUGAGCAGCAAUUGCUUUCUAUGGACAUAAGCAAAGCUUUCUCUAUGUCUUUAGAUAAACCCCUUUUGAUGAGUGAAACCAUAUACUCCAUGAACACAGCAUCACAUGGCAAUUCAAUAGGACCUCCACUUGGUAGCCCAAACACUUCUUCAGACAUCUUAAGUAACUCUUUGAUGAUAUUAUUGUUGAGAUAUGCUAUAGGAAUAGUAAAUCGCUUAUGAUCAUUGGUGUAGAUAACAAAAUUUCCUUUACCAAUUGAUGAUGUAGUAGAACAAUCUGCAUUCUGGUUGCUACAGAUCCUAGGAAAAGAAAUUCUUUUCCUCCUUAUGGCAGUUGUCCUUUGCCACUUUCUUGCUAAUUUGAUGAGCUUAUUUGGGCUAAUCAUGCUUCUUGUUCUAUAUUGGAAGGGCUAUUGAGAAC